GAACGUAGAUCUAAAACAAGAACCCAUUUCAAAGCAGCCCACCACAAAGGUAAACAACAUACCAAUCAAAAAUCAAUCAGUGCAAAGUGCACCCCAUUAGUUACAGAAACCCAUUUCUGUUUUGAUAUGUAGGCAACGAGAAAUAAGAAGUCUGCAAACAAGCCAGGCUCUAAAAGCAUCGCAGACUGUGGUUGAGGAUGUUGCCAUUCCUGAGGACUUUGGGGAUUUCUCACUAGCUAAGACAAUUAGCCUAAUUGAGGACAGAGUUAGUGAUGAUGUUAUGGAGGAACACUUGCAGGAUGACAUCAUGCCAGUUGCUGGGGAUGAGAUGGGUGCAGGUAGGUUAAAGAGGCCAACUUCAAUGCUACUGUAUCAUGAUAUUUGCAUUGUGGAUUAUACAUUAAUUUAACAUGUCACUAUUGUAAUCUUAGAGUACUAUCAAGAUAACUUUGCGGAUGCUGUCUUCUUUGACAAAUUAAACACUGAAGAGAUGGUGGAGGUUUAUACUAAAUCCUGCUCCUUUCUAUAGACUUUGUUGCUCCCCUUAAGCCAAGGAAAAGGGCACCGCCCAGCCUUGGUUAAAUUGUAACACCCGCUCUCUUAGACAAGAGUGUUGUAAGGCUGAGCAAAAGUGUAAAAGAGACUCCAAACUCCAAGUCUCAUAUGAAUGUUUAACUGCAUGCUUAAAGUGUUACCAAAAGUCAGUAAAAGAGGCCAAGUCUAAAUUUCUCUCUGCUGUUUAAGUCAAUUAACUAAAUCCCUUGGCAGCUUCUUCUCUUGUUCCAUCAUGGGAAACCUGAGAACUUUUUAAAUUUUUUUGAUAAUAAAGUCUUGGAGAUCAAGGCUUCCAUUAAGCAAUCAUCAUAUGUUCCCCCUUUGAUUUGUUCACCAACAGAUUCACUAACUUUUUUUCAUCCAGUUACCUCUGCUCAGCUAGCAGAUAUUGUUUCCAAGGCUUCCAGCUGUGAGUCAGAUGUCAUCUCAACUCGUCUUUUCAAGGAAGUGUUUGUAACCUUGAGCCCGGCUAUAACAGCCAUUAUUUAUAGUUCUCUAGCAAAUGGAGUUGUACCUGCUAGCUUUAAUUGUUCACCAUUCACUUGCAUUGAAAGGACCUGCAGAGCUAAAAUAUUCUUCUAAAAAUGUUCAUUUGUGUUCUGCAGAAGAAAGUCAUACACAUCUAGGAUGGCAUGAGAAUUUACAUUCUUGGUGAAUUAUUCCUUUAAAGCAUCACUCAUAAACAUAAUCAUUUCAUGUUUCCAGAGGCUCAAAUCAGGCUUUUGAAGACAAAAUUUGAAUGUUAGCAGUUUGAGAUGUGUUAAAGGUUGACAGGUCAUGUUACACUUGUUAUAACCCUUUUUAAUUUGUCUUAAAGGAUAAUGAAAACAGUAAUUUAAACAGCAAAGUAAAGGACAUGGAGGAGCAAUGGACAAGACUACAAAUGGCCACAAAUGGCCAGCAGAUGCUGACUGAGAAGCAAAGGGCUUUUGCUGAAGAAUCCAGUAGAAAGUGUGAGGGUGUUGUGUGGCAGCACUGCAUAAGGAGUUGGAAGGCAUGAAGAGGGCCCAUAAGCAGGCAGCCAGCACCCACAGUGCUACAGAGGUGCGGUUGAAUAGAGCUCUUGAGGAGGUUGAGAAGACCAAAGCUCAACUUAAACUCAAAGAAAUAAGGAUUCAGCAAAGGAGCAGCAAAGAACUGAACACUUACAAGCUGAGAACAGAAAACUGGAAAGACAAAAGGCUGAGCUCAUCACAGGUUUUAAGUAACUGAAGCUAAUAGAUUUUUAAAAAGACAGAAGGCAAGAAAAAAAUCAGUCUUUUAACAAUAACUCUAAAAUAUCAUUCUCAAUUACAAUAAUAUCAUACCUAAGCAAUGGCACUUUCUUUAAAGCGUUUAAUGUUUGUACUGUUAUUUUAACAGAUGCAUUUCGAAGCUGCCAAAACGUUGUCCUUUAUCAAAGAGGAGUUCAUGUAAUCUUUGGAUUGGGGGAAUAACCGUGUCUCAUAGUUUUUUAGAUUGUACAGCUUGUACAAAACUUUAAAAGUACAAAACUUUGUACAGACGAAGUGUUAAGUGCUCACUGAGUUGUUGAUCUACGGUUGAACUGGAUGAAU